UUGAACCUGGUUUUGUGGCAUGCCAAACCUCCCUCUUUUAUAGCCAUGUGAAAUAUAACAUUAAAAUGACAACUCAACACCACAGGACUACAAUAUAAAUAAAUUGGAGAACACAAUCGACAAAGAAACACACAAACAACAGCCAACAAAAGGCAACAAGUUCAAAAUUUUAAUACGCCAGAAGUGCAUUUUGUCCACACAAGAUCUACUAGUGACGCCCAGAUACAAAAGUUUGAAAGCCGAAACAAGCACAAAGUCGAACAGCAUCGAGGAC
rnacentral:lncRNA from 1 species